rnacentral:lncRNA from 1 species
ACAGGCGCCCGCCACCAUGCCCUGCUGUUUUGUAUUUUUGAGAAAUGGAAUCAUCGUAUCGCUGAUCUACGUAAACAAACUGAAGAAUUGUCUGAAAGAAAAUAUGACAUGAACUUAUGAAUUCAACAGGUGAAGAUUUACAACUUGAUAAAUCAACUUUGUCAGCUCGAGCUGUAAAAGCCAAAGGUCCGGUGAUGAUCCCAUACCCUUUUUUCCAGUCUCAUGUUGAAGAUUUUUAUGUAGAAGGCCUUCCCAAAGGAAUUUUUUUUUUUUUUUUUUUUUUUUGAGAUGGAGUUUUCACU